CAAUAGCGUAUAUUAAAGUUGUUGCGGUUAAAAAGCUCGUAGUUGGAUUUCUGCUGAGAACGACCGGUCCGCCCUUUGGGUGUGUAUCUGGCUCUUUCUUGGCAUCUUCUUGGUGAACGUUGCUGCACUUGACUGUGUGGAGCGCUACCCAGGACUUUUACUUUGAGGAAAUUAGAGUGUUUCAAGCAGGCAUACGCCUUGAAUACAUUAGCAUGGAAUAAUAAGAUAGGACCUCGGUUCUAUUUUGUUGGUUUCUAGAGCUGAGGUAAUGAUUAAUAGGGAUAGUUGGGGGCAUUCGUAUUUAACUGUCAGAGGUGAAAUUCUUGGAUUUGUUAAAGACGGACUACGGCGAAAGCAUUUGCCAAGGAUGUUUUCAUUGA
rnacentral:rRNA from 1 species